AGUAGCUCAGCGGUAGAGCAAUCGGCUGUUAACCGAUCGGUCGUAGGUUCGAUCCCUACCU
rnacentral:tRNA from 1 species